CAACCCUUUCAAGAAUUCACCUAUCGGAAGGUGGUUCGCACGCACGCUAAAGUCGGAACGAGAAGCUAUUUAAGGAAAUUCUAAGCUUUCAAGGUUGAGCGUGGACGGGGGACGGAGGAUGUUGAGCAUUGGACAGAGACAGUAUUCAAU